rnacentral:rRNA from 1 species
AACGAACGCUGGCGGCAUGCCUAACACAUGCAAGUCGAACGAACCCUUCGGGUGUAGUGUCGCACGAGUUCGUAACGCGUGGGAACAUUCCCUUAGGGUCGGACUAACUCCCCGACAGGGAUGCUUAUACCAGAUCAUAUCUUCUGCCCAAUGAUUUAUCGCACUUGGAUGGUCCCUAGUUGAAUUCGCUAUUUGGUAGGGUAAUAGACUCCUAAGGGGACGAUGAGUAGCUGGUCUGAGAGGAAGAUCAGCGACACUGGGACUGAGACACGGCCUGGAAUCCUACGGGAGGCAGGAGUGGGUGACAGUGGAAAAUGGGGGAAGUGCUGAACCAGUAAGGACGGGUGAGCGAUGAAGGCAGUAGAGUUGUAAAGUUCAUGUAACCGGGAUGAUAAUGACAGUACCGGGAGAAUAAGCCCCGGCUAACUACGUG